GAAGAAAGAGGGAGGCGUGCUUAACACAUGCAAGUCGAACGGAAAGGCCUGUCUGUUGUGGGGUGCUCGAGUGGCGAUCGUGUGAGUAACACGUGUGUAACCUGCCCUGUACGUGGGGAUAUCUGUAGGAAACUGGGGCUAAUACCGGAUAGGAGCUGUGGUGGCAUGGUGGGGGUUGGAAAGUUUCGGCGGUUGGGGAUGGACUCGCGGCUUAUCAGCUUGUUGGUGGGGUAGUGGCUUACCAAGGCUUUGACGGGUAGCCGGCCUGAGAGGGUGACCGGCCACAUUGGGACUGAGAUACGACCCAGACUCCACAGGGAGGCAGCAGUGGGGAAUAUUGCACAAUGGGCGGAAGCCUGAUGCAGCACAGCCGCGUGCGGGAUGACGGCCUUCGGGUUGUAACAAAAAAUCGCCUGUGACGAAGCGUGAGUGACGGUAAUGGGUAAAGAAGCACCGGCUAACUACGUG
rnacentral:rRNA from 1 species